rnacentral:lncRNA from 1 species
UCUGGAGUUCAGCAGGCUCCCUCUGACCUCCUCCUAGCCACUAUCACCCUACUUGGAAAUUUACAAAUUGGGGCCGGGCGCGGUGGCUCACGCCUGGAAUCCCAGCACUUUGGGAGGCCAAGACGGGCGGAUCACGAGGUCAGGAGAUCGAGACCAUCCUGGCUGACACGUUUCACCACCUGGAAGUGGGGAGCCAGCUCCAGCACAGCACUUUGUGGGAGGACAAAAGAGACGGUGUGGAUAAAGUGCUCCGCAGAUCACCGGGGGCGGCAAAGGUUCAGUCGGCUGCACUCAGUGGGGCAGGAGGAGUCACCAGGGCUGCCUCUACUUACUGAGGAGCCCGACCACGGGUUGUCCCAAGCCAGGGGUGGGAGCAGGAGCUGCAUCCACGCUCACUCCCAGCCCCGCCACGACGGCAACUCGCUCCCUGUGAAACCUGCGGCUCUACGCUGGGACAUGACAAAUGACCAAAAAAUCAAUUUGUAAUCUGAUUGGAGGUUUUUGAUUUCCUCUGAUGAGUUUAAAUUUCAUUAAAAGCAACCUUAUUCCAAUAUAAAAGGAAUCCU